GAAAAUAUGCUAAGUUCUCUUGUUUUCCAGGCUAUUACUCCAAAGAGACUCCUCACAUCUAUAACUUCAGUAAGUAGAAAUUUUCUAAAAAUGCAAUCCUUUAAUAAGUCUACAUUUUGAAUAAAUCUACACAUUGACUGACUAGCUUUAAACCUUGACUAUUGUAGAUGUCUUUAACAUCCACUAAUGUGUCCCAGAGCUUGAAGGAGAAAGCAGGUUUACAAGUUGAAGUCCACUCAACUUUCUCAAAAGAAGUUAAAUAUUUUAAUUGCUGAUACUUACAUGGGAAGAAAUAUUUUCUCAAAUGUAGUCCUUAUAAUAUUAAAAUUUCAUACUCUAAAUAAAAGAAAUAAUUAAUGUGUCUUCUUUAUCCUUUCUUUGUUAGAAAAGCAGCCUUCAUUCUUCAGGUGAGUGGACCUAAGCUAUUUGAAGCUUUAGAAUAAUUAAACUUAGCAGUUGCAUGCCUUUAUAAAUAUAUUUAUCCAUACACUCAUACAUACACAUGCCUUCUCGAUUUGCAAACUUGGUUUACACACCUCACACACAGAGUAAAACUGGAAGACACUGGGCAUGGUGCCUCCCAGUUGUGGGUGAGAUACUUGAAGCUGAAGCAAGAGGACUGCUGUCCUUUCAAGGCUGUUCUGGGCCAUGGUGAGUUCUAGGCUGGCCUGGCUGAAGGGAUGAAUCCCUGCCUCAAAAAACAGAAGCAAAUGGGAAAGAAUGAGAAGAAAUAAAAGACAGUGGGGCAGAGUCUCUGUGGCAGUUUGAUUUCUUCCAUGUGGAGGGGGAGAGGUGUUACUUAGUGUCUUAGCCACUGUUCUAUUGCUGUGAAGAGACAACUUUCUCAAGACCAAAGCAGCUCUUAGAAGAGGAAGCGUUUACUUAGAGGCUUGCUUACAGUUUCAGAGGGUGAGUCCAUGACUGCCAUGGCAGAAGGCAGACAGGCAGUAGCUGAGCACUUUAUACUCUGAUCCACAGGCAGCAUACAGGGGUAAGGGGAGGAGCGGGAGGGAAAAAUUGAGUCUGGCUUGGCAUGGGUUUUUGAAACCUCAAACCCCAGGCCUAGUGAUACAUCUCCCGUGAGGCCAUGUCUCCGUAAGCAGGCCAUAUACACCUCCUAAUCUUCCUCAAUGGUUUAUCAACUGAGAACUGAGCAUUCGGCUAUACAAGCCUGAGAGGCCAUUCCCGUUUGAACUAGCACACUUAGGAAAGCCAAUCUGAACUAAAUAUCACUCCCUGUUUCUCUACAGUUAUGGCCAGUCCCGGAGGUCUCGGUGCUGUGCGUACCAGCAACUUUACCCUAGUUGGAUCUCACACACUCUCCUUAUCUUCUGUUGGAGACACUAAGUUUGCUUUGGACAAGGUAACUCAGCUGUCCUUAUGAUUGUGUUACACUGAAAACCAUUAACCUAUAGAGAUUUCAAAGAACUUUCAAAUGUUUAAAACCUUUGGCUGAGAUAAACAUUCUUUGAUUGUUCAUAUACGGGUACAUAUGAGUGAUAAUGUUAGGAGUGUUUCGUAUUUUAAUACUACAGCUAGUUAGAUCUUCAAGUUUAUAUUGCUUUCUGUGCCAGUUAAGUGUUUUCUUACAGUUAGAUGCUGUUUAUAUUUUAAAACAAUUCAAUAUGUUAUAGAUUUGGACUUUUCUAUUUUAUAGGUCAGGGUCUUAACUGUGUCAUUAAGAGUAGCCUGAAAUCUUCUUGGUCCUCCUGCCUCAGCCUCUCAGUACUGGGAUUUUAGGCAUGUACUAACCACAUCUUUUUAGAAAUUUCUUUCCUGUAUUCCUUCCCAAAUUUAAAGCUUCAAACUUCAGAUCUCUAUUUUAUCGCUCUGGAGUGGUCUUUGCCGUAAGUGUGAAAUAAGUGUUUAAAUAGCUAGUGAGACCGUGGUGGGGAUGAGAGCCGGAGGUCAAUAGCCUGGGGCUGACUCCUCAUACGUAAUAUAGUGCUGGUUUUUAAAAUACAGGUUUUUGCAUCUUUAAAAAUUAAUAAAUUUGUAUUGACAUAUAGUAAUUUGCAUAUUUUCACAUGUGUAUACAGUGUGCACUAAUUCAGUCAGGAAGUUAGACUUGAUGUCUCUUUAUUUCUUAACAUUUUACAACUAGAAGAACCUGUCUUAGUUUUUCCUAAAAUGUAUAAUAGUUUGUUAUGAACUAUAAUCCUCCCACUGUAAUAUAAAUACUAAAUUUUUUCCUUUUAACUAAUUGUGGGUUUUUUUUCCUGCUUUUUCUUUUUCUUUUUUGAGUUGAGGUCUCAUAGCCCAGACCCUCAGUGUUAUUAAUGUAUAGCUGAGGCUGACCUAGAACUCCCGACCUCCUGAUCUACCUGUAAAUUUCAGAGAGUACCAAUAUGAUAACUUAGUUAUCAAGCCUAGCUUGAUUGUAUCUUAGUACUUGUCUUGACCUUUAGGUCCCCUCCCCGCCCCCAUUCCAUCCCUUUUCCUGUUUCUCUUCUCCAUCUCUAGAAAUCACUGCUGACAUCUUACUAACUUGUAAGACAUCUUGCACAUAUGGGUAGAGCUUCAGUCUUCAGAGUUUUGUAUUGGUAUUAGAGAAUUCUGCGAUCAGAACCAAGAGGCGAGGCUGAGGCUUGGUUUCUAUUAUUUCUUAUCUGUUUCCUCCUCAGCUGCACUGGAGUGUGAACACAGGGCUUGUGCAUGCUCAGGCUGUAAGCUAGCAAUUUACUUCUGAAUUUUGAGCAAAGUCAUUUCAUCUCUCUAGGAUCUUAUUUUUUCUCAUAGGAAAUAUUAGAUCAAUACAAGCCAGCUUAUCUUUAAACUAUGAAAAAAAUUCUUUUAAUUUUGGUUGAUAGACAAAAGUGCUGACUAUAUUUAAAUUUUUGACUACCAUUAACACAAAAAAAUGUAUUUUAACAUGCUAAAACCUAAAAUUGUAACUUAUUUAGUAAUUCAACUAGUCUUAACACAUUGAGUGAUUCUGGGUCUUUUUUUCUUUUUUCUUUUUUCUUUUUUUGUUUAUUUUAGAUAAAUUUUGAUGUAAGAGAACAGGAGCUACUGGGCUAUUUGUUCCAGGAAAAGGUUGCUUUAUUUUCUUUAUUUGAAAUUAAUAUGCUUAAGAAGUCAUUUUCUGCCUGUGUUAUUUCUUAAUCAUCCUUAUACUAAUGCUGCUGAUUAAGUAUAUGUUCUAAUGAAUAAAUUAAAUUUAAUAAAUUUUUUAAAAUUAAUUUUUUAAAAAGAACAGUAACUAACCAACCCUUGAUUUUUAGUCCAUGUGUGUUUGUUUCACUAAACACUCUUGUGUAUUUUUGGUAUACUUGAAUAAUUAACAAAAUAUAUGUUAUAUAUGAGACAAAAAAGUUAUUCUUUGGGCUCUUGGGUAUGGCAUCUUUUUCUCUACUUUCAAAAUUCUUCAAAAGGUUUUUUUUUUAAUUUCUUGAUAAUUUUCAUUGCUUUGGAAUUUUCUCUAUAGUUUCUUCUAUUUUACGAUUUUUCUUUUUUUAAAGAUGGUUUCAUUUAUUCUUGGCUGUCUUCAAACUUUACUAUGUAACCAAAGGUGACCUUCAACUUGGGAUUCUCUUUACCUUCCAAGCUCUCUGAUCACAGCCAUUGGUCUUCGUGGCUGGAUUAUGGAUGGGGUCAGAUUCAGGGUUUCAUGCGUGGUAGACAAGGACUCUACCGACUGAGCUGCAUCCCCAGACCACCUUUUACAAUUUUUAAAAAUCUAUAUUCGCUUCCUUCCUUCCUUCCUUCCUUUCUUUCUUUCUUUCUUUCUUUCUUUCUUUCUUUCUUUCGAGUACAUGGAUGCUCUCCUCAGGCACACCAGAAGAGGGCAUCAGAUCUCAUUACAGAUGGUUGUGAGCCACCAUGUAGGUGCAGGGAAUUGAACUCAGGUCCUCUGGAAGAGCAGUCAGUGCUCUUAACCACUGAGCCAUCUCUCCACCCCUCAUAUUUAUUUAUUUAUUUAUUUAUUUUUCAUAUUUAUUUUUAUCAGUACUAAUUAGAAUAGGAAAUUAAUAACUAUGUUUAAGAUUAAAAGUGUUCCAUAUUUGACUUCUGAUAUACUAAAAGCUAUUGGUAUGAUGUUUUAAGAUUGUUCUUAUAGAAGCCGGGCGGUGGUGGCGCACGCCUUUAAUCCCAGCACUUGGGAGGCAGAGGUAAGCCGAUCUCUGAGUUCGAGGGCAGCCUGGUCUACAGAGUGAGUUCCAGGACAGCCAGGGCUACACAGAGAAACCCUGUUUCGAAAAAAAC
rnacentral:lncRNA from 1 species